GCGCGGAAUAGUGCCCACAUGCUGAGACGAUCUGAUGAUCUUAAUGAU
rnacentral:sRNA from 1 species